rnacentral:rRNA from 1 species
UACGUAGGGGGCUAGCGUUGUUCGGAUUUAUUGGGCGUAAAGAGCUCGUAGGUGGUUCGGUAAGUCGGAUGUGAAAUCUCCAGGCUCAACCUGGAGGGGUCAUUCGAUACUGCCGUGACUAGAGUUCGGUAGAGGAGUGUGGAAUUCCUGGUGGAGCGGUGAAAUGCGCAGAGAUCAGGAGGAACACCCGUAGCGAAGGCGGCACUCUGGGCCGAUACUGACACUGAGGAGCGAAAGCGUGGGGAGCGAACAGG